GAUGAACGCUGGCGGCGUGCCUAAUACAUGCAAGUCGAGCGAACAGACGAGGAGCUUGCUCCUCUUACGUUAGCGGCGGACGGGUGAGUAACACGUGGAGAACCUACCUAUAAGACUGGGAUAACUUCGGGAAACCGGAGCUAAUACCGGAUAAUAUAUUGAACCGCAUAGUUCAAUAGUGAAAGACGGUCUUGCUGUCACUUAUAGAUGGAUCCGCUCCGCAUUAGCUAGUUGGUAAGGUAACGGCUUACCAAGGCAACGAUGCGUAGCCGACCUGAGAGGGUGAUCGGCCACACUGGAACUGAGACACGGUCCAGACUCCUACGGGAGGCAGCAGUAGGGAAUCUUCCGCAAUGGGCGAAAGCCUGACGGAGCAACGCCGCGUGAGUGAUGAAGGUCUUCGGAUCGUAAAACUCUGUUAUUAGGGAAGAACAAAUGUGUAAGUAACUAUGCACGUCUUGACGGUACCUAAUCAGAAAGCCACGGCUAACUACGUG
rnacentral:rRNA from 1 species